rnacentral:rRNA from 1 species
UACGUAGGGGGCAAGCGUUAAUCGGAAUUACUGGGCGUAAAGCGUGCGCAGGCGGUGAUGUAAGACAGGUGUGAAAUCCCCGGGCUUAACCUGGGAAUUGCAUUGGUGACUGCACGGCUAGAGUGUGUCAGAGGGGGGUAGAAUUCCACGUGUAGCAGUGAAAUGCGUAGAGAUGUGGAGGAAUACCGAUGGCGAAGGCAGCCCCCUGGGAUAACACUGACGCUCAUGCACGAAAGCGUGUGGAGCAAACAGG